ACUCACUCAUUCAACGACUACCGAGCUGCUGGAUCGUGAUACUAGAUAAGCACUGAGUCUGGUUGAAUUGACAAUGGAAACUUCAGAUCAUGAAAGAACUUUAUUUUAAGUUUAUUCUAACAAGGACUGCCUUGCCAGCACAGCUACAGGACAAUAGGAAGCUCUUGCAUACCUUCUCUUUUGAAAAGUCACAAACACAUGUGGAUUCAAAUAUGAGUGAUUUCUGUAAACUGAAAACACAUUCCUCUAAUAAUUGCACGUGGCCAGGAAUUGACAAAAUUUAAGAACUUUAAACUACAAGAACCAAAAUGGAUGACAGCAGUACAAGUAGUAAAGGCCGGUGCUGUAGAUGUUCAGUCACGACCUGUCGCUGCAUUGUGGCAGAAUUUUUCUGUAUGUUUCUCUUCAUGUUUAUUGCUGGAACAACAGAUCUCAAUUGGACAGAUCGUCCACCCAUAUCAGAAUUACAGGUGGCACUGACCCUUGGUUUUGCAAUUACGACAUUGACACAGUGUUUUGAUGCAAUCAGUGGUUCACAUCUGAAUCCAGUUGUUACAAUGGGUUUUAUCAUAACGAGGCAAGUUGGUGUCAUCAAGGGGCUUGUCUUUCUUGCUGUCCAGUUUGUUGGAGCUUUCACGGCUUGUCUUCUUCUACAAGGGUGAGAAUUUAUCUGAUAUGUUUUAUUAAAGUGGUACUUUAGGCUAAACAUAAUGAUUCGAACAGAUUAAGGAAAAUCAGACAAACAAAACACUGAAAAUUUCAUCAAAAUCCGACAAGGAAUAACAAAGUUAUGGUAUUUCAAAGAUUUGCAUUAUUCCGGUGAAUAAGUUCUAGGCAUGUCUUCAUAAAUUUGUAUUUUAUUACAGUAUAUAUGAAAUUAGGUUUAUUCAAAUUCCGUCCGAUGUGUGCGGGUUCUGUUUUUUUUUUCUAUUCCGGUAUUCUGAUUGAUAAAACAAUGUAAUACAUAACAAACAGUUUGACCAUUUCUUCUUCUGUUGGGGGUAUUUGUUUAAUUACUAUCAUAACUUUGAAAAUAUAUGGAUCUAGUCCAUGAAACUUGGACAUAAGGUUAAUCAAGUAUUAGUGAACAUCCUGCUUGAGUUUCAGGUCACAUGACCAAGGUCAAAGGUCAUUUAGGGUCAAUGAACUUUGGCCAAGUUGGGGGUAUUUGUUGAAUUACCAUCAUAACUUUGAAAAUUUAUGGAUCUAGUUUAUGAAACUUGGACAUUAGGUUAAUCAAGUACCACUGAAUAUCCUGUGCGAGUUUCAGGUCACAUGACCAUGGUCAAUUGUGCACUGUAGAGAACCCAUCUAUUUUAUACCUUUUAUUCAUUCUGUCUUUCUGCUAAAAUGAGAUAACAAAUUCCAUAUUUCAUUUUAUCAUGAUGAAAAUUCAUAUUUGCUCCCAGAGUUGCUCUUUAAGACAUGUAUCAAGAAUUAGAUCUUUUUAUGAAAUUGAAACAGUUCAUCCUUUUUUUUAGACCUGUACAAUCUCACGUUUUUUUUUAAAUAAGACAAAUAACAAAAGUGGAGCAUAUACGUGUACAUUGUUUAUGCAGGAAAUGACCUUUCAUUGUCACCAAAUUGUAUUUUUAAAGUUCUAACUAAUUUUAGAAAUGAUUGGUAACUGUUAGAAUGAAGGAGGAGCCGUGGUGUAGUGGUUCUGAUUCUCGUCUUGUAAACAGAGGGUUGUUGUUCGAAUCCCGGUCUGGUGUCCUUUGGCAAGGCGUUAAUCCACACUUUGCCACUCUCGACCCAGGUGCUAAAUGGAUACCCGGUAGGAUGUGAAAUUCAUUGUAGCUUGUCCAGUCCUGUGUGCGCCUCACAGGCGACUGACUGGAAUACUCCUCAGGGAGUGGAGGAUGUGCACACAUUGUGUGCGGGAAUGAUAAUCGACUGAUUAAAUCCGAUGACCAGGGUAUUGUAUAUCUGUAAAGCGCUAUAUAUAAGCAGAUAAUUAUUAUAUGGUAAAGAUUAUGUCAGUUAAUGUAAUAGUACACUGUAUGUAAAAUUAUCACUGUAUACAAUAUUCAAGUACUGAAUAUUAUUGGG